GACGAACGCUGGCGGCGUGCCUAAUACAUGCAAGUAGGACGCAGUUGCGACCGGGUGAGUAACGCGUAGGUAACUACCUAUUAGAGGGGGAUAACUAUUGGAAACGAUAGCUAAUACCGCAUACUAGUAGAUGGACCUGCGUUGUAUUAGCUAGUAGGUAGGGUAAUGGCCUACCUAGGCAACGAUACAUAGCCGACCUGAGAGGGUGGUAGGCAACACUGGGACUGAGACACGGCCCAGACUCCCUCGGGAGGCAGCAGAAGGGAAUCUUCGGAAAUGGGGGGAAACCUGACCGAGCAACGCCGCGGGAGUGAAGAGGGUUUUCGGAGCGUAAAGCUCUGUUGUUAAGGAAGCGGUACUUAACCAGAAAGGGACGGCUAACUACGUGCCAGCAGCCGCGGUAAUUC
rnacentral:rRNA from 1 species